GACGAACGCUGGCGGCGUGCUUAACACAUGCAAGUCGAACGGAAAGGCCUCUUUCGGGGGGUAUUCUAGUGGCGAACGGGUGAGUAACACGUGAGUAACCUGUGCUUUACUCUGGGAUAACUUCUGGAAACUGGGGCUAAUAUCGGAUAGGAGCUCCUGUUGUGUGGUGGGGGGUUGGAAGUUUCGGGGGUGGGGGGUGGACUCGCGGGGUAUAAGAUUGUUGGUGGGGGAGUGGCGUAUACAGGCGUUGUCGGGUGGCCGGCCUGUGAGGGGGUGCGGCCACAAUGGGACUGGAAUACGGGCCAGACUCCCACCGGAGGCAACAGGGGGGAAUAUUGCACAAAGGGUGGAAGCCUGAUUCAGCAACGCCCUGUGCGGGAUGACGGCCUUCGGGUUGGUAACCGCUUUCGCUCAUGACGAAACUUUGUGUGACGGUAGUGGGUAAAGAAGCACCGGCUAACUACGUG
rnacentral:rRNA from 1 species